AAGGGGAGAGGAGAGAGAUUAGGUUGUUUUGAUUGAAAAAGAAGGGCAUAAGUCCACUUAAUUAUAUAGUUUAAGCAGCAUAGAACUCGUUUGCAAAUUCUAUCAAAAUUUAUAUAAUUUGCUAAAAACAUCUUGAAUCCCACGAAAUUUUAACUAUGGAAUUUCAAAACAAUUCCUUUUGGGUUUCAAAAAUGAUAGUUACAGAAUUGCAAAUAAAUUCCAAAAAUUUUGCAUAAUUCUUUUGUUACAAAAAGGAGGUUAAUCUUUGUUAAUACAAUUUGAAUGAAAACUAAAAAUCAAAUCUUUGGAUGUCAAGUUCUCUAUCCAAAUGUAAUCUAAAUGAUUUUGCAUGCAAUUUUACUUAUGUUGAUUCUUACAAACCAAAUAAAAAGAGUGAAAUUAAUUUCCAAAAUUAACAUGAAGCAAAAUUUCCAAAAUUAAUUUCUAGAUUUCAGUAUUGACUUGACUUGUGUCUACCUUUUGCUGCAGUAACAAUAGUAGGGCAAAACUCAAAAGUUGUUGUUGACGGAAUAUGUUGACCAAAGAGAAGCUUUGCUAAAUCUACCCAAUAUCAUUUGAGCAAUGUUUUGGAUCUUUUACAUCAUAUUUACAAAAAUAUUACUCGGAUUUGAUCAAGUGGUAAGAACACAACAAGAUACAUGAUUGUCAGAACAGAUUGUAGAUACCUUUUGAUUGAAACUCUUUA
rnacentral:misc_RNA from 1 species